UACAUGGGGUGCAAACGUUGCUCGGAAUUAUUGGGCGUAAAGCGCGCGUAGGCGGUUGCCUAAGUCGGACGUGAAAGCCCUCGGCUUAACCGAGGAAGUGCAUCCGAAACUGAGCAGCUAGAGUACGAAAGAGGGUCGCGGAAUUCCCGGUGUAGAGGUGAAAUUCGUAGAUAUCGGGAGGAACACCGGCGGCGAAGGCGGCGACCUGGGUCGAGACUGACGCUGAGGCGCGAAAGCGUGGGGGAGCAAACAGG
rnacentral:rRNA from 1 species